UCCCUUGUAGCUCAGUUGGGUAGAGCAUGACACUUCCAACGCCAGCGUUGUGGGUUUGAUUCCCACAGGGGAC
rnacentral:tRNA from 1 species